rnacentral:rRNA from 1 species
CCCAGACUCCUACGGGAGGCAGCAGUGGGGGAUAUUGCACAAUGGGGGGAACCCUGAUGCAGCGACGCCGCGUGAGUGAAGAAGUAAUUCGUUAUGUAAAGCUCUAUCAGCAGGGAAGAAUAAAUGACGGUACCUGAGUAAGAAGCCCCGGCUAACUACGUGCCAGCAGCCGCGGUAAUACGUAGGGGGCAAGCGUUAUCCGGAUUUACUGGGUGUAAAGGGAGCGUAGACGGCGCGGCAAGUCUGAAGUGAAAGGCAGGGGCUUAACCCCUGAACUGCUUUGGAAACUGCCAUGCUAGAGUGCUGGAGAGGUAAGUGGAAUUCCUAGUGUAGCGGUGAAAUGCGUAGAUAUUAGGAGGAACACCAGUGGCGAAGGCGGCUUACUGGACAGUAACUGACGUUGAGGCUCGAAAGCGUGGGGAGCAAACAGGAUUAGAUACCCUUGUA